rnacentral:rRNA from 1 species
UACAGGAGGGGGCAAGCGUUAUUCGGAAUUAUUGGGCGUAAAGGGCGCGUAGGCGGCAUGGCAAGUGGAUGGUGAAAUCCCUCGGCUUAACCGAGGAACUGCCGUCCAAACUGCUUCGCUUGAGACCGGGAGAGGUGAGUGGAAUUCCCAGUGUAGCGGUAGAAAUGCGUAGAUAUUGGGAGGAACACCAGUGGCGAAGGCGGCUCACUGGACCGGUACUGACGCUGAUGCGCGAAAGCGUGGGGAGCAAAGCGGG